GACGAACGCUGGCGGCGUGCUUAACACAUGCAAGUCGAACGGAAAGGCCCUGCUUUUGUGGGGUGCUCGAGUGGCGAACGGGUGAGUAACACGUGAGUAACCUGCCCUUGACUUUGGGAUAACUUCAGGAAACUGGGGCUAAUACCGGAUAGGAGCUCCUGCUGCAUGGUGGGGGUUGGAAAGUUUCGGCGGUUGGGGAUAGACUCGCGGCUUAUCAGCUUGUUGGUGGGGUAGUGGCUUACCAAGGCUUUGAAGGGUAGCCGGCCUGAGAGGGUGACCGGCCACAUUGGGACUGAGGUACGGCCCAGACUCCUACGGGAGGCAGCAGUGGGGAAUAUUGCAGAAUGGGCGGAAGCCUGAUGCAGCAACGCCGCGUGCGGGAUGACGGCCUUCGGGUUGUAAACCGCUUUCGCCUGUGACGAAGCGUGAGUGACGGUAAUGGGUAAAGAAGCACCGGCUAACUACGUG
rnacentral:rRNA from 1 species